GCUGGCGGCGUGCCUAACACAUGCAAGUCGGAUGUGCCGCAAGGUGCAUGGCAGACGGGUGAGUAACGCGUGGGGAAUCUACCUCUUUGUGGGGAAUAACGCUCCGAAAGGAGUGGUAAUACCGCAUGAGAUCCAUGGCUGGGAUGCUGUGGAUGAAACCUGGGGACCGCAAGGCCUGGGGCAAGGAGAGGAUCCUGCGUCUGAUUAGCUAGUUGGUGAGGUAAUGGCCCACCAAGGCAUCGAUCAGUAGCCGGCCUGAGAGGGUGAUCGGCCACACUGGAACUGAGACACGGUCCAGACUCCUACGGGAGGCAGCAGUGGGGAAUUUUGCGCAAUGGGCGAAAGCCUGACGCAGCAACGCCGCGUGGGUGAUGAAGGUCUUCGGAUCGUAAAACCCUGUCGUCAGGGACGAAGGUUUGGGCGUUAAUAGCGUUUAAGCUUGACGGUACCUGGAGAGGAAGCCCCGGCUAACUCUGUGCCAGCAGCCGCGGUAAUACAGAGGGGGCAAGCGUUAUUCGGAAUUAUUGGGCGUAAAGGGCGCGUAGGCGGCUUUUUAAGUGAGAUGUGUAAUCCCUGAGCUCAACUUGGGAACUGCAUCUCAUACUGGGAGGCUAGAGUACUGGAGAGGGUGGUAGAAUUCCACGUGUAGCGGUGAAAUGCGUAGAGAUGUGGAGGAAUACCAGUGGCGAAGGCGGCCACCUGGACAGUAACUGACGCUGAGGCGCGAAAGUGUGGGUAGCAAACAGGAUUAGAUACCCUGGUAGUCCACACUGUAAACGAUGAACACUUGGUGUGGAGGGAGUUGACCCCUUCCGUGCCGUAGCUAACG
rnacentral:rRNA from 1 species